rnacentral:rRNA from 1 species
GACGAACGCUGGCGGCGUGCCUAAUACAUGCAAGUCGAGCGGACCUCUUCGGAGGCCAGCGGCGGACGGGUGAGUAACACGUGGGCAACCUGCCUGUAAGACUGGGAUAACACCGGGAAACCGGUGCUAAUACCGGAUAAUCCUUCCUGACACAUGUUAGGAAGCUGAAAGACGGUUUCGGCUGUCACUUACAGAUGGGCCCGCGGCGCAUUAGCUAGUUGGUGGGGUAACGGCACACCAAGGCGAAGAUGCGUAGCCGACCUGAGAGGGUGAUCGGCCACACGGGGAGUGAUACACGGCCCACACUCCUCCGGGAGGCGGCAGUAGGGAAUCUUCCGCAAUGGACGAAAGUCUGACGGAGCAACGCCGCGUGAGCGAAGAAGGCCUUCGGGUCGUAAAGCUCUGUUGUCAGGGAAGAACAAGUAUCGGAGUAACUGCCGGUACCUUGACGGUACCUGACCAGAAAGCCACGGCUAACUACGUGCCAGCCGCCGCGGUAAUAC